rnacentral:rRNA from 1 species
UGCGGGGGGGGCAAGCGUUGUUCGGAAUUACUGGGCGUAAAGGGUUCGUAGGUGGCCCGCUAAGUCACACGUGAAAUCCCUCAGCUUAACUGGGGAACUGCGUGUGAGACUGGCAGGCUUGAGUGCAGGAGAGGAACGCGGAAUUCCAGGUGUAGCGGUGAAAUGCGUAGAUAUCUGGAGGAACACCGGUGGCGAAGGCGGCAUCCUGGACCGGCAUUGACGCUGAGGCGCGAAAGCCAGGGGAGCAAACGGG